rnacentral:rRNA from 1 species
UACAGGGGGGGCAAGCGUUGUUCGGAAUUACUGGGCGUAAAGGGUCUGUAGGUGGCUUACUAAGUCAGACGUGAAAUCCCUCAGCUUAACUGGGGAACUGCGUCUGAUACUGGAAAGCUUGAGUGCAGGAGAGGAACGCGGAAUUCCAGGUGUAGCGGUGAAAUGCGUAGAUAUCUGGAGGAACACCGGUGGCGAAGGCGGCGUUCUGGACUGCAACUGACACUGAGGCACGAAAGCGUGGGGAGCGAACAGG